CCUACGGGUGGCAGCAGUCGAGAAUCAUUCACAAUGGGGGAAACCCUGAUGGUGCGACGCCGCGUGGGGGAAUGAAGGUCUUCGGAUUGUAAACCCCUGUCAUGUGGGAGCAAAUUAAAAAGAUAGUACCACAAGAGGAAGAGACGGCUAACUCUGUGCCAGCAGCCGCGGUAAUACAGAGGGCUCAAGCGUUGUUCGGAAUCACUGGGCGUAAGGCGUGCGUAGGCGGUUUCGUAAGUCGUGUGUGAAAGGCGCGGGCUCAACCCGCGGACGGCACAUGAUACUGCGAGACUAGAGUAAUGGAGGGGGAACCGGAAUUCUCGGUGUAGCAGUGAAAUGCGUAGAUAUCGAGAGGAACACUCGUGGCGAAGGCGGGUUCCUGGACAUUAACUGACGCUGAGGCACGAAGGCCAGGGGAGCGAAAGGGAUUAGAUACCCUAGUAGUC
rnacentral:rRNA from 1 species